rnacentral:rRNA from 1 species
CUUGAGUAACUAUAAGAGGUCCAGCCUGCCCAGUGACUUUGUUCAACGGCCGCGGUAUCCUAACCGUGCGAAGGUAGCGUAAUCACUUGUCUUUUAAAUGGGGACUUGUAUGAACGGCAUCACGAGGGUUAUACUGUCUCCUUUUUCUAAUCAGUGAAACUAAUCUUCCCGUGAAGAAGCGGGAAUAAACAUAUAAGACGAGAAGACCCUAUGGAGCUUUAAACUCAAUAACAAAUACUGACCUUACAUCAACUUUCAGAAGAUUCACCUUAAUUUUAGUAUUAUGAUUAUUAGUUUUAGGUUGGGGUGACCGCGGAGUAAAAAUUAACCUCCACAUUGAACGGGACCUAUCCCUGAGCCAAGAACUACAGCUCAAAGCACCAACAAAUUGACAUUAAUUGACCCAAUAUUUUUGAUCAACGAAC